UCGGACGGGUUCAUAACGCGUGAGAACCUGCCUCAAGGUCGGGGACAACAGUUGGAAACGACUGCUAAUACCGGAUGAGCCGAAUAGGUAAAAGAUUUAUCGCCUAGAGAGGGGCUCGCGUCUGAUUAGCUAGAUGGUGAGGUAAAGGCUUACCAUGGCGACGAUCAGUAGCUGGUCUGAGAGGAUGAGCAGCCACACUGGGACUGAGACACGGCCCAGACUCCUACGGGAGGCAGCAGUGGGGAAUUUUCCGCAAUGGGCGAAAGCCUGACGGAGCAAUACCGCGUGAGGGAGGAAGGCUCUUGGGUUGUAAACCUCAAAACUUAGGGAAGAAAAAAAUGACGGUACCUAAUGUAAGCAUCGGCUAACUCCGUGCCAGCAGCCGCGGUAAUACGGAGGAUGCAAGCGUUAUCCGGAAUCAUUGGGCGUAAAGAGUCCGUAGGUGGCACUUCAAGUCUGCUUUCAAAGACCGAAGCUCAACUUCGGAAAGGGAGUGGAAACUGAAGAGCUAGAGUAUAGUAGGGGUAGAGGGAAUUCCUAGUGUAGCGGUGAAAUGCGUAGAGAUUAGGAAGAACACCAGUGGCGAAGGCGCUCUACUGGGCAUAUACUGACACUGAGGACGAAUGCAUGUCCC
rnacentral:rRNA from 1 species